rnacentral:rRNA from 1 species
UGGGGAAUCUUGGACAAUGGGGGCAACCCUGAUCCAGCCAUGCCGCGUGAGUGAUGAAGGCCUUAGGGUCGUAAAGCUCUUUCGCCUGUGAAGAUAAUGACGGUAGCAGGUAAAGAAACCCCGGCUAACUCCGUGCCAGCAGCCGCGGUAAUACGGAGGGGGUUAGCGUUGUUCGGAAUUACUGGGCGUAAAGCGCACGUAGGCGGACCAGAAAGUUGGGGGUGAAAUCCCGGGGGCUCAACCCCGGAACUGCCUCCAAAACUAUUGGUCUAGAGUUCGAGAGAGGUGAGUGGAAUUCCAAGUGUAGAGGUGAAAAUUCGUAGAUAUUUGGAGGAACACCAGUGGCGAAGGCGGCUCACUGGCUCGAUACUGACGCUGAGGUGCGAAAGUGUGGGGAGCAAACAGGAUUAGAUACCCUGGUAGUCCACACCGUAAAACGAUGAAUGCCAGUCGUCGGGUAGCAUGCUAUUCGGUGACACACCUAACGGAUUAAGCAUUCCGCCUGGGGAGUACGGUCGCAAGAUUAAAA